rnacentral:rRNA from 1 species
CAGCCGCCGCGGUAAUACGGAGGGGGCUAGCGUUGUUCGGAAUUACUGGGCGUAAAGCGUGCGUAGGCGGUGAGUUAAGUCUGCUGUGAAAUCCCCGGGCUCAACCUGGGAAUGGCAGUGGAUACUGGCAAGCUAGAGUGUGUCAGAGGAUGGUGGAAUUCCCGGUGUAGCGGUGAAAUGCGUAGAGAUCGGGAGGAACAUCAGUGGCGAAGGCGGCCAUCUGGGACAACACUGACGCUGAGGCACGAAAGCGUGGGGAGCAAACAGGAUUAGAUACCCGGGUAGUCCCUGUCUCUUAUAC